rnacentral:rRNA from 1 species
UCCACGCCGUAAACGAUGUCUACUAGGUUGUGGAAGUUCUGACGCUUGCACGGCCGAAGCAAAAGUGCUAAGUAGACCGCCUGGGGAGUACGGCCGCAAGGCUAAAACUCAAAGGAAUUGACGGGGGCUCACACAAGCGGUGGAGCAUGUGGAUUAAUUCGAAGCAACGCGUAGAACCUUACCUGGGUUUGACAUGCUUGGAUGGCUGCCUGGAAACAGGUUAGUCUGCCCUUCGGGGUGAAACUUGCACAGGUGCUGCAUGGCUGUCGUCAGCUCGUGUCGUGAGAUGUCGGGUUAAGUCCUUUAACGAGCGAAACCCUUGCCGUUAGUUGCCAGCGGGUUAUGCCGGGGACUCUAACGGGACUGCCGGUG